rnacentral:tRNA from 13 species
GGAGAGGUGGCAGAGUGGUCGAAUGUACCUGACUCGAAAUCAGGCGUACGUGCAAGCGUACCGAGGGUUCGAAUCCCUCCCUCUCCGCCA